rnacentral:tRNA from 1 species
CAAGCUAGAUUUAUUAGUUAAGUAUUUCAUUUACAUUGAAAUUGUUAUCGUGCAAUUCGAUAUAGUUUGA